rnacentral:lncRNA from 1 species
AUAAAAUUGUAAGAUAUUUAAAGUGUACAUCAUGACAAUGAUAUACAUAUACAUUGAGAAAGGACUCCUCCCAUCCAGUUAAUUAACACAUCCAUCAUCUCACACAUUUAUCUUUUUUGGGGGGCAUGGGGAGAACAUUUAAGUUCUACUCUUUUAGCAAAUUUUGAUUAUAUGGUACAACGUUACCAACUAUAAUCACCAUGUUAUACAUUAGAUCCUCUGACCUUAUUCAUCUUAUAGCUGAAAGCCUGAGAAAAUUUUCUUUUAUAGUUGUUAUAAGUGAACAAUUUCAGCCUUUUCAUAAGAAGAGAGAAUUUGCUUCUCAAAACUGAGUAAAUUGGUAUAUAAAAGUCAUUUUGAGUGAUGCAAGUAAGCCAUUCUUUCCUAUACGGAUUGUCCUUAUUAUCUUUAUUAUUAAUGGAGAGAAACACAACCAUUACAAUUUUCUCAAAGGAGAUGGGUGAGCUGUGAGCAGGUGUUCUGGAAUGAACAUGUCAUUUCAGCAUAAAAGCUUUAUGGAACAUGUUCACUAUUGUCCUGCAUUAGCGGAAUUUUAUAUCUGUCAGAAUCCAUGAUCCCCACUCAGUCUAUGUGAAAUAGAGGUCGGCAAUAUCAAUGCUGCCCGAGGGGACAGUCCAUAGGAUUUCACUCCACCCUCUACAGAAAUGUUUUCCUUGACAAUGGAGCUGGGGAAUUCCUUUGGCAUCAUCUCACAGUGAGAGGUUUGCAUGUACAGUUAGCCAUCUGUUACAAAGUUCCUUGAUAAAGAGAUCAAUUCUCGUGGAUUAUUUUAAACAUUUGAGUGAAUAUAACUGCCAUUUUAAGAGUUCAGGUAUGCUCAGGUCUCAGGAAAACACAGGCACAAAGCAUUAUGUUGUACUGAACACCUUUUGGUCAGCAGGAGCAGUGAUCCACAUAAAGAGCCUGACGUGGGAGUAGGCAGACAGGACCAGGACAAGGUCCAACAGGAGUAAGAGUCUCAGCCUUGAUUCCAGUAAAAUUUGGACGAAGUGCUAUCCAGAGGCGUGC